rnacentral:lncRNA from 1 species
AUUUUUAAUGCGGGAGUCAAAACUACUUACUAAAUUCCCUAAGACCCAAAAGAAUCGUACAAGAACUUCUAAACAAUGACGUUGUCCAAAGGAGAUAUCCAAAAAUAAAAUAAAUAAAGAAUGUUUCAUUGCCCAAAAGAUGAACAAGAAAAAAUAAGAUGACUCAUUGCAGCCUGGAGACGUAGUGCUCAACCUUGGAUCAAGAUCUGCUAUCAAACUCUAGAGGUGAGGUUUUGUCUGAGACUCUAGAACACUUUCUGCACUCAACAAAAGAAGAGUACAGGGUAGUAUCAGUACAAAUCAUUAUGUAAUGGUAGGUAUCAUAGGCCAACUUAAUUUAAUAACAUGUACACAACAUAAAUCAAAUAACAAAUAGGCAUGCAUCGUCAUAUAACAAAUAUUCAAUGAAUCAAUAAUACAACAACAAUAUGUCAAAUAGUGCUCACAAAUAUUUCACAUAACCAUCAAGAGUAUCAACCAUACCGUGAACAUCCACAGAAUCAACACAAAUAUGUACACACAUGCUAUGAGACUUAUUUUUGCCCAAAUAGUCAUGACCUGCAGGGAACAAUCUAUGUUCAUGUGUCGUACCGGCGUGAUACUCGAUCUAACAUAUACAUAUUCGUACCGCCGUAAUACCCGAUCCAACAUAAUCAUAUCCGCACCGGUGUGGUACCCAAUCCAACAUAAACAUAUCUGUACCACCGUGGUACUCGAUCCAACAUAUACAUAUCCGUACCAACAUAGUACCCGAUCCAACAUAUACAUAUCCGUACCGGCGUGGUAUUCGAUCCAACAUAAACAUAUCUGUACUGGCGUGGUACUCGAUCCAACAUGUACAUAUCCGUACCAGCGUGGUACCCAAUCCAACAUAUACAUAUCCGUACCGGCGUGGUACCUAAUCCAACAUAAACAUAUAUGUACCAGCGUGGUACCUGAUCCAAUAUAAACAUAUGUACCCGGUACCCGAUCCAACAUAUACAUAUCCGUACUACCGUGGUACCCGAUCCAACAUAUACAUUCCGUACUGAUGUGGUACCUGAUCCAACAUAAACAUAUCUAUAUUGGCGUGGUACCUGAUCCAACAUAUACAUAUCCUUACCGGCGUGGUACCCAAUCCAACAUAUACAUAUCCGUACCUACAUGGUACCCGAUCCAACAUAAUCAUAUCCAUACCGGCAUGGUACCCGAUCCACCAUAAACAAUUAAUAUCAUUAUGAAAUUUAAACUACUUCAUAUAAUACAACACGAUGUACAAAAUUUACAAGUACAUUUCAAGUCAUCAGACAAUUCCAUCAAGUAAAUUUUCAAUAAUCAUUUAUACACGCCUCAACAAUUCAAACAUCAAUAAUUUCAAGCAUGUCCGAAUACCAAUCAACAAGUAUCCAAGUUAGGAGCAUACACACAAAUAAAUUGAGUCUAAAUUCCAAUUAAACCAUAACCUACCUCAAUCGAAGAAACCGAAUGAAAGCUACCUUGCAAAGUCUUUGCCCUUCCGUAAAGCUUCCAAAUAUUUCAAAUCUGAAAUAUAUAAUUUCCAUAAGAACAAAUCUAAUAAAACCUUUUUUUUUUUUCAAAUUAUCACUCUAAAAAUCCUAAUUGAGAACCUAGUUUAUCCAAAAGUGAUAGUUGAUUCAAGAUAGAAAAUUCUCUUUAAAGAACAACGAAGAGCAGUGGCAGUACCUUUUUUUCCAAUUCGCCUGAACCAUAUGAUAUGCCUUAUUCCCUUUAUGUUAGUAAUGAAAAUUAGGCAAUAGUCAUCAUUACUAAAUGACACAAUUUAUUUCCUUUACGUUAUGCAAAUUCUAAACUACCGCAUACGUUUAAUCCAUAUUCGGCCACUGUGUACAAUUUC